rnacentral:tRNA from 1 species
GCCUCUGUAACUCAGUUCGUAGAGUGACAGAUUCGUAAUCUGUUUGCCGGGGGUUCAACUCCCCCCAGGGGCU